rnacentral:lncRNA from 1 species
CCCGCCCCAGCCGAGCCGAGCGGAGCCGAGCGCGCAGCCGGGCCGCCGCCGCCGCCGUCUCGUAGAUGCCAUCACAGCAACAAAGAGCUCGCUGAGCUGAGAGCCGCGACAAGAGCUCGCCUGGAAGCCCUCCACCGUGCCCGCUCCAGGAGCUGGGUGACAGCAGGAGGAAACGCUCCGGGGGUCUGGGGGAGGAGAGGGGACAGGAGAUGGCCAAGAAGAGAAAGCCCCCCAGCAUCAAGGGGUGACAAGUUCUGCAUCCAUUUUCCCACCCUCCAGCCUCAAGAGGAGAUAGAAACUGUCUGGCUCUCUUUUCCCCCCAUGGUCAAGGGGAUUUGCUACGGGUCGGGUCCCUGCAGGCUUUUCCCGUCUUCCCGACCUGCUGAGGCGGGCAGUGACUCCCCUUGUUGAGGCGGGCCCCUGUUGCUCCUUUGGAACCAGGGCUUCUAAAGUUGGAAAGUUCAGAGGGGGAGAAGCUCUGGCAGGGAGGAUAAGGAUGAGCUUGUUGCCGGGUGACUUCAGGCAUCGCGGAGUGGUCGAGAGCUGAACUCUGGAGGAAUCCUCGUAGGCGGCGUCCAGCAGGAGCUGGGUAUCCAGGACUCGCCCGGCGCCGCGCUGCGCGCCGGGAGCGGGUGCACUCGCCGCCCGCGACCGCAGCGCGGACUAGCAGAGGUGGCCGCUGGCCGGCGGACUCGCGCUUCGACUCUUGCGCUGGGGAGCUAGAGGUGGCGGAGAGGUGGUCUUGCAGCACUGCAGAGAGGUGGAAACCAGCUGGGCACCAUGCGCGGUGAGGAAGACUGUGCCGGGGAACUGCUUGGUGGGAAGGAGGAAGCAGUGGCGUUUGAAGUUGGAUUUCAACCCAAUGGGCCUAAUAGCCCGGGAGGCGGACAUUUAUCGCACUUUGGGGUUUAAUAAAACGCGACCACACUGAGAUGCGAAGGGAUGUACUCUUGAAAAU